rnacentral:rRNA from 1 species
UAGGGAAUCUUCCACAAUGGACGCAAGUCUGAUGGAGCAACGCCGCGUGAGUGAAGAAGGUUUUCGGACCGUAAAGCUCUGUUGUUGGUGAAGAAGGAUAGAGGUAGUAACUGGCCUUUAUUUGACGGUAAUCAACCAGAAAGUCACGGCUAACUACGUGCCAGCAGCCGCGGUAAUACGUAGGUGGCAAGCGUUGUCCGGAUUUAUUGGGCGUAAAGCGAGCGCAGGCGGAAGAAUAAGUCUGAUGUGAAAGCCCUCGGCUUAACCGAGGAAUUGCAUCGGAAACUGUUUUCUUGAGUGCAGAAGAGGAGAGUAGAACUCCAUGUGUAGCGGUGGAAUGCGUAGAUAUACGGAGGAAUACCAGUGGCGAAGGCGGCUCUCUGGUCUGCAACUGACGCUGAGGCUCGAAAGCAUGGGUAGCGAACAGGAUUAGAUACCCUGGUA